CUAAAAUAAAAAUAAAGAGAGGGGCCUUUUAUUAAAAAGAAAAUUUGUUUCUAAUAUUGUUGUUGGACCCCCUGCCAAAGCUGAAGCCAUUCUCCUGAAAACAUUCUUUCUCUAAACAGUUUCUUUUUCUCCUAGCUCUGCCUUCUCUCUAGCCUUCCAUUCCACUGACUCAGUGCAUGUUCUGUUUGGUGGUACCCCUGCGACCGCCCUGUAGAGAGCUUCCAAACCAUCCUAUUGGUUUUACGUUCCGUAGCCGGGUGUCUUUGAAAUUUGUUGUGAGGAGCAUUGUUUAGAGCGUUCUUGUCAAGUUAAACUGUGAAACUUUCCCGAGGAGAAUGAGACCUCGGUGGAGAAUGUCCUGGAGGGGAGUGAGAAGCAACUUCUUAGUCUUUCCAGGAAUUCCAUAGUUUUCCCAUGCAUCUGAACAAUUUCAGUUCUUGUAUUUCGAAGUACUUUAGUAUUCCACGUUUUUUUAAUUUCCUCUACAUUCCGGAUUACUGUAAUCCUUAAUUUUAACUUCUUAAAACCUUAUCUGUCAUUUUAUUAUUCCAACUGCUUUCUAUUAUCAUCCAUAUUGACGUCUUAAUUUUUAUACCCGCAAUGAAAUAUAAAAUUGGGAUGUCAUAGAUGUCAUUAUAACUAAGGUAAGAUCCCACUUGCUACGAUUUUUACGUAUUUGUAUUUAUUGUAAACAAUAUUUUCAUGAAUUAUCAAAGUAGACUGUCUGGUUUGUUUGACAGGUUAUGGUAUAGAACGUGGGCUCGUCCGAAUCUUUCACGAGCUUUACUUUUGUUUGGUUGACUUAAUUAAUUCACUAAUUAGGAUGUCAAAAAUAAUUACUCCCUGUUCCAUUUUUUUAUUUAACUGUUAUUUUCAAAGUUUAAAACAACGUUAAUAUUUUUGGUUAUU